UACGUAGGGUGCGAGCGUUGUCCGGAAUUAUUGGGCGUAAAGAGCUUGUAGGCGGUUUGUCGCGUCUGCCGUGAAAGCCCAGGGCUUAACCCUGGGUCUGCGGUGGGUACGGGCAGACUAGAGUGUGGUAGGGGAGACUGGAAUUCCUGGUGUAGCGGUGAAAUGCGCAGAUAUCAGGAGGAACACCGAUGGCGAAGGCAGAUCUCUGGGCCGUAACUGACGCUGAGGAGCGAAAGCAUGGGGAGCGAACAGG
rnacentral:rRNA from 1 species